UUCACCAACGUUUCCCACCAGCCUUUUAUAUUAUCAAUCAAAAAGAAAAUUACAACACAAAAUAUGAACUAUGAACACCAAUUUCAUACAUGGAUUACAUGAGAGCAACUAAAUGAUGAGUUAAAUUUUGUAAAGUUCUCAAAGCUACAAAUUUAAAAAUAAAAAGAAAAACAUAUUUCACAAGUAUAUGCGUUAGAACAAAUUAGAAGAACUAAUUAACGCUUUCCCUUGUAGGCACAACUCUAAAAAUCAGCUCCAAAU
rnacentral:lncRNA from 1 species